AAUAUUGUACAAUGGGGGCAACCCUGCUCCUGCCAUGCCGCGUGUGUGAAGAAGGUCUUCGGAUUGUAAAGCACUUUAAGUUGGGAGGAAGGGCUUUAGGCGAAUACCUUUAAGUUUUUACGUUAGACACAGCAUAAGCUCCGUCUAUCCCUGCGCCCGCAGCCGCGGUAAUACAGAGGGUGCAAGCGUUAAGCGGAAUUAUUGGGCGUAAAGCGCGCGUAGGUGGGUCAGUAAGAUGGGUGUGAAAUCCCCGGGCUUAACCUGGGAAAUGCUCUCAUAACUGCUGAGCUAGAGUGCGGUAGAGGGUAGUGGAAUUUCCUAUGUAGCGGUGAAAUGCGUAGAUAUAGGAAGGAACACCAGUGGCGAAGGCGACUACCUGGACUGAUACUGACACUGAGGUGCGAAAGCGUGGGGAGCAAACA
rnacentral:rRNA from 1 species